UGUUGUGAUUAAAAAGCUCGUAGUUGGAUCUCGGCGGUCUGAGGGCGGUUCGCUUGAUUGAGUGCUACUGCUCUAUAGGCCGUGGUUUUGCCAGAGGUCUCGGGGUGCUCUUAACCGAGUGUCCUGCGAUGCUGGCAGGUUUACUUUGAAAAAAUUAGAGUGCUCAAAGCAGGCUUUUACGCCUGAAUAUUCGUGCAUGGAAUAAUAGAAUAGGAAGUCGUUUCUAUUUUGUUGGUUUUCGGAAAUCGACUUAAUGAUUAAUAGGGACAGUCGGGGGCAUUUGUAUUCAAACGACAGAGGUGAAAUUCUUGGACCGUUUGAAGACAAACUACUGCGAAAGCAUUUGCCAAGAAUGUUUUCAUUAAUCAAGAACGAAAGUUAGAGGUUCGAAGGCGAUUAGAUACCGCCCUAGUUCUAACCAUAAACGAUGCCAGCUAGCGAUCUGCCGACGUUUUCUUUGUAGACUCGGCAGGAAGCUUCCGGGAA
rnacentral:rRNA from 1 species